rnacentral:rRNA from 1 species
UACGAAGGGGGCUAGCGUUGCUCGGAAUCACUGGGCGUAAAGGGUGCGUAGGCGGGUCUUUUAAGUCAGGGGUGAAAUCCUGGAGCUCAACUCCAGAACUGCCUUUGAUACUGAAGAUCUUGAGUUCGGGAGAGGCGAGUGGAACUGCGAGUGUAGAGGUGAAAUUCGUAGAUAUUCGCAAGAACACCAGUGGCGAAGGCGGCUCACUGGCCCGAUACUGACGCUGAGGCACGAAAGCGUGGGGGAGCAAACAGG